AUGAUUCGUGGGACGUCCUGCCGGUGGUGGCGAGUCGAAGGCGUGCUCCCGUCGUGGUUUCCACUUCUUUUCUUGUUCGCUCGAGUUGUACCCUGAUGAAAUCCUACCGCGGUGCUCUUAACCGAGUGUCGAGGUGGGCCGGCACGUUUACUUUGAACAAAUUAGAGUGCUUAAAGCAGGCCUGUUGCGCCUGAAUACUGUGUGCAUGGAAUAAUGGAAUAGGACCUCGGUUCUAUUUUGUUGGUUUUCGGAACCCGAGGUAAUGAUUAAUAGGGGACAGGCGGGGGCAUUCGUAUUGCGACGUUAGAGGUGAAAUUCUUGGAUCGUCGCAAGACGGACCGAAGCGAAAGCAUUUGCCAAGUAUGUUUUCAUUAAUCAAGAACGAAAGUUAGAGGUUCGAAGGCGAUCAGAUACCGCCCUAGUUCUAACCAUAAACGAUGCCAGCUAGCGAUCCGCCGAAGUUCCUCCGAUGACUCGGCGGGCAGCUCCCGGGAAACCAAAGCUUUUGGGUUCCGGGGGAAGUAUGGUUGCAAAGCUGAAACUUAAAGGAAUUGACGGAAGG
rnacentral:rRNA from 1 species